rnacentral:rRNA from 1 species
UAGGGAAUCUUCCGCAAUGGACGAAAGUCUGACGGAGCAACGCCGCGUGAGUGAAGAAGGAUUUCGGUUCGUAAAACUCUGUUGUUAGGGAAGAAAAAAUGUAUAGUAACUAUAUACAAAAGAGACGGUACCUAACCAGAAAGCCACGGCUAACUACGUGCCAGCAGCCGCGGUAAUACGCAGGUGGCAAGCGUUGUCCGGAAGUAUUGGGCGUAAAGCGGUCGCAGGUGGUUUAGAAAGUCUGAUGUGAAAGCCCACGGCUCAACCGUGGAGGGUCAUUGGAAACUGAUAAACUUGAGUGCAGGAGAGAAAAGUGGAAUUCCUAGUGUAGCGGUGAAAUGCGUAGAGAUUAGGAGGAACACCGGUGGCGAAAGCGGCUUUUUGGCCUGCAACUGACACUGAGGCGCGAAAGCGUGGGGAGCAAACAGG